UACGUAGGGGGCAAGCGUUGUCCGGAAUCAUUGGGCGUAAAGAGCGUGUAGGCGGCCAGAAAAGUCCGCUGUGAAAACUCGAGGCUCAACUUCGAGCUGUCGGUGGAAACUUUCUGGCUAGAGUCCGGAAGAGGAGAAUGGAAUUCCUGGGUGUAGCGGUGAAAUGCGCAGAUAUCAGGAAGAACACCCCGUGGCGAAGGCGGUUCUCUGGAACGCAACUGACGCUGAGACGCGAAAGCGUGGGGAGCAAACAGG
rnacentral:rRNA from 1 species